UACGUAGGGGCAAGCGUUGUCCGGAUUAUUGGCGUAAAGAGCGUGUAGGCGGCCUGACAGGUCUGCUGUGAAAACUCGGAGGCUCAACCUCGAGAUGUCGGCGGAAACCGUCUGGCUAGAGUCCGGAAGAGGAGAGUGGAAUUCCUGGUGUAGCGGUGAAUGCGCAGAUAUCAGGAAGAACACCUAUGGCGAAGGCAGCUCGUCUGGGACGGUACUGACGCUGAGACGCGAAGCGUGGGGAGCGAACAGG
rnacentral:rRNA from 1 species